GUGUGAGUAGAUUUCUGGGCUAAUAUGCAGCCAAUGUACCUGGUGUGCGUUAUUAUGUAUAAUUCACUGACUGAUGGAAGGAAAUUAAUCCACUAACCAUGGAAAAUGUCAAAUUAACCUGUGCUUGGAUAAAGGGAAUGUGUCAUUAAAAUUUACUCCUGUUUUUUAAUCUAUUCUAUACUAAUGCAUUAAGGCUAUACAAAGAAAAUAUAAAUAGUGUCCUGAAAAACCAUGGAAAAUGGAACAAGUCACCAAUUUAAUGUGCCUUACUGUUUAACUGGUUUCCAUGGUGAUGUCCCC